UGUUGGUGGUAGCAGUGGUGUGUUGGUACAAUUUACCUAUAUAAUUGGGUGCUUGUGACUUUGUGUGUGUGCAAAACUAGAACGAAAAAUUAGAGAUACAGAGAGAGUUGCAGAUAGAAAGACGAGAGUUUGAGAAAAGAAAGAAAAAAAUUAGAGAAGAUUGAGAGAGUGAGUUUGAAAGACAGUGAGAGGCCGAGAGUUGCAGAGGAGGCCGGACCGGAGGUUUGAAGCUUUGAUGAUCCAGUGAGAAAAAAAUUCUUUUUCAGAAUUCAGUUACCGAAGAUGAACGGGGAUUGCUAGAUACGAGCUUAGGGUGAAGAGUCGGCGUUGCAGGAUUUAUUUAUUUAUUUGGAGAAUUUAUUUUGUAUAUUUGAAGAAAUUGACUUUGUAUAAAAGAGAGUAUUUUUUUUUAGAUCCUAUGUGUAUUUUGAUGUAUUUGGAUUUGAAUAAAUCGAGGAUUUUGUUAGAAAAUUCGGAGUCAUGACAAUUGUUGUAAUAAUUGGAUGGUUGGUAAGGAUUUUAGUUCCUUUUGUUUUAAGGGAAAUAUUGUGAAAAAAAUAAAAUUUUGAAAGUGAAGGAAGGUUUUAUGCAA